GCAGGCUUGGCCGAAUCGUUAAGCUGUCCGCUUAGUAAGCGGAAGAUCAUGGGUUCGAUUCCCAUUUGUU
rnacentral:tRNA from 1 species